rnacentral:rRNA from 1 species
AGCCCCACUCUAGCCCAACCACUCAAACAAACCACAAUAACAAAAAUCCACGCAUCCACUAAACUAAAACAUUCUACCUGGCUUAGUAUAGGUGAUAGAAAAGCACCCAUGGCGCCAUAGAACUUCGUACCGUAAGGGAAAGAUGAAAUAACAAUGAAAACUAAAGCAAUAAAAAGCAAAGAUAAGCCCUUGUACCUUUUGCAUCAUGAUUUAGCAAGAACAACCAAGCAAAACGAAUUUAAGCUUGCCCCCCCGAAACCCACGCGAGCUACUCGCAAGCAGCUAUUCAUGAGCCAACCCGUCUCUGUGACAAAAGAGUGGGAUGACUUGCCAGUAGAGGUGAAAAUCCAACCGAGCUGGGUGAUAGCUGGUUGCCCGCGAAACGAAUCUCAGUUCAUCCCUGAUCUGAUUUCCCCCCGGACCCCUAACCCAUAAUGUAAAGAUCAGGAGCAAAUUAAAGGAGGUACAGCUCCUUUAAAGGGGAUACAACCCACACCAGCGGAUAAUAAUCUCCUGCCCCAAUUGUAGGCCCUCAAGCAGCCACCAGCAAAGAGUGCGUCAAAGCUCGAUACAUUCCCCCAAAUCCCCAUACAACACGACUCCCUUCCCACUAGCGGGCCAACCUAUAACAAUAGAAGAAUUAAUGCUAAAAUGAGUAACUCGGGCUUCCCCUCUCAAGCGCAAGCUUACACUACCCCAUUAUUAACAGCCCACCCAAUACCACAACUCCAACAAGACUGAAUAUUCCACACCACCUGUUAACCCAACCCCGGAGCGCUUGUUAGAAAGAUUUAAAUCUGUAAAAGGAACUAGGCAAACCCAAGGCCCGACUGUUUACCAAAAACAUAGCCUUUAGCCCACCAAGUAAUUAAAGGUGAUGCCUGCCCAGUGACCCUACGUUUAACGGCCGCGGUAUCCUAACCGUGCAAAGGUAGCGCAAUCAAUUGUCCCAUAAAUCGAGACUUGUAUGAAUGGCUAAACGAGGUCUUAACUGUCUCUUACAGAUAAUCAGUGAAAUUGAUCCCCCUGUGCAAAAGCAGGAAUAAACACAUAAGACGAGAAGACCCUGUGGAACUUAAAAAUCAGUAGCCACCACACAUUAAACACUACCCAACCCAGGCUCACUACUCAAAACACUGGCUUACAUUUUUUUGGUUGGGGCGACCUUGGAGAAAAACGAAACCUCCAAAAAUAAGAACAACCCUUCUUAACCAAGAGCAACCCUUCAACGUGCAAACAGUAACCUGACCCAAUACAAUUGACCAAUGGACCAAGCUACCCCAGGGAUAACAGCGCAAUCUCCUUCAAGAGCCCAUAUCGCCAAGGAGGUUUACGACCUCGAUGUUGGAUCAGGACACCCUAAUGGUGCAGCCGCUAUUAAGGGUUCGUUUGUUCAACGAUUAAUAGUCCUACGUGAUCUGAGUUCAGACCGGAGCAAUCCAGGUCGGUUUCUAUCUAUGAUCAGUUCUUCCCAGUACGAAAGGACCGGAAAAACGGGGCCCAGGCUACAAGCAAGCCCCCUCCCCCAAGUAAUGAACCCAACUAAAUUACCAAUGGACCACCCACACCAUACCUCCUAGAAAAGGACC